GAUGAACGCUGGCGGCGUGCCUAAUACAUGCAAGUAGAACGCUGAAGGAAGGAGCUUGCUCUUUCCGGAUGAGUUGCGAACGGGUGAGUAACGCGUAGGUAACCUGCCUGGUAGCGGGGGAUAACUAUUGGAAACGAUAGCUAAUACCGCAUAACAGUAGAUGUUGCAUGAUAUCUACUUAAAAGGUGCAAUUGCACCACUACCAGAUGGACCUGCGUUGUAUUAGCUAGUUGGUGAGGUAACGGCUCACCAAGGCGACGAUACAUAGCCGACCUGAGAGGGUGAUCGGCCACACUGGGACUGAGACACGGCCCAGAAUCCUACGGGAGGCAGCAGUAGGGAAACUUCGGCAAUGGACGGAAGGCUGACCGAGCAAAGCCGCGUGAGUGAAGAAGGGUUUCGGACCGUAAAGCUCUGUUGUAAGAGAAGAAAGAGGGUGAGAGUGGAAAGUUCACGCUGUGACGGUAUCUUACCAGAAAGGGACGGCUAACUACGUG
rnacentral:rRNA from 1 species